UGGGGAAUAUUGGACAAUGGGCGAAAGCCUGAUCCAGCAAUACCGCGUGUGUGAAGAAGGCCUUAGGGUUGUAAAGCACUUUCAAUUGGGAGGAAAACCUNYCGGYCAAUACCCGRUAGCUUGACAUUACCUUUAGAAGAAGCACCGGCUAACUCCGUGCCAGCAGCCGCGGUAAUACGGAGGGUGCGAGCGUUAAUCGGAAUUACUGGGCGUAAAGCGUGCGUAGGCGGUUCGUUAAGUCAGAUGUGAAAGCCCUGGGCUCAACCUGGGAACUGCAUUUGAAACUGGCGGACUAGAGUUUAGUAGAGGGGAGUGGAAUUUCAGGUGUAGCGGUGAAAUGCGUAGAUAUCUGAAGGAACACCAGUGGCGAAGGCGACUCCCUGGACUAGAACUGACGCUGAGGUACGAAAGCGUGGGUAGCAAACAGGAUUAGAUACCCUGGUAGUCCACGCCGUAAACGAUGUCRACUAGCCGUUGGYCCUAUUUACAGGRUUAGUGGCGCAGCUAACGCAUUAAGUCGACCGCCUGGGGAGUACGGCCGCAAGGUUA
rnacentral:rRNA from 1 species